rnacentral:rRNA from 1 species
UACAGAGGUCUCAAGCGUUGUUCGGAUUCAUUGGGCGUAAAGGGUGCGUAGGCGGCGCGGUAAGUCGGGUGUGAAAUCUCGGGGCUUAACUCCGAAACUGCAUUCGAUACUGCCGUGCUUGAGGACUGGAGAGGAGACUGGAAUUUACGGUGUAGCGGUGAAAUGCGUAGAGAUCAUGAGGAAGACCAGUGGCGAAGGCGGGUCUCUGGACAGUUCCUGACACUGAGACACGAAGGCCAGGGGAGCAAACGGG